UGAACGCUAGCGGCAGGCCUAACACAUGCAAGUCGAGGGGUAACAUAGAAGAGCUUGCUUUUCUGAUGACGACCGGCGCACGGGUGCGUAACGCGUAUGCAACCUACCUCUUACUGAGGGAUAGCCCAUAGAAAUGUGGAUUAAUACCUCAUAGUAUUGUUCUUUCGCAUGUUAGAACAAUUAAAGGUCACGGUAAGAGAUGGGCAUGCGUCCCAUUAGCUAGAUGGUAAGGUAACGGCUUACCAUGGCUACGAUGGGUAGGGGGCCUGAGAGGGUGAUCCCCCACACUGGUACUGAGACACGGACCAGACUCCUACGGGAGGCAGCAGUGAGGAAUAUUGGUCAAUGGACGCAAGUCUGAACCAGCCAUGCCGCGUGCAGGAAGAAGGUCCUAUGGAUUGUAAACUGCUUUUAUUUGGGAAUAAACCCCUCCACGUGUGGAGGGCUGAAGGUACCAAACGAAUAAGCACCGGCUAACUCC
rnacentral:rRNA from 1 species